CCUACGGGCGGCAGCAGUGGGGAAUAUUGGACAAUGGGGGGAACCCUGAUCCAGCCAUGCCGCGUGUGUGAAGAAGGCCCUCGGGUUGUAAAGCACUUUCAGUGAGGAAGAACGCCUGGUGGUUAAUACCCAUCAGGAAAGACAUCACUCACAGAAGAAGCACCGGCUAACUCCGUGCCAGCAGCCGCGGUAAUACGGAGGGUGCGAGCGUUAAUCGGAAUUACUGGGCGUAAAGCGCGCGUAGGUGGCUUGAUAAGCCGGUUGUGAAAGCCCCGGGCUCAACCUGGGAACGACAUCCGGAACUGUCAAGCUAGAGUGCAGGAGAGGAAGGUAGAAUUCCCGGUGUAGCGGUGAAAUGCGUAGAGAUCGGGAGGAAUACCAGUGGCGAAGGCGGCCUUCUGGACUGACACUGACACUGAGGUGCGAAAGCGUGGGUAGCAAACAGGAUUAGAUACCCUUGUAGUC
rnacentral:rRNA from 1 species